rnacentral:rRNA from 1 species
UACGUAGGGUGCGAGCGUUGUCCGGAAUUAUUGGGCGUAAAGAGCUCGUAGGCGGUGUGUCACGUCGGCCGUGAAACCUGCAGCUUAACUGUGGCGUGCGGUCGAUACGGGCAUCACUGGAGUUCGGCAGGGGAGACUGGAAUUCCUGGUGUAGCGGUGAAAUGCGCAGAUAUACAGGAGGAACACCGGUGGCGAAGGCGGGUCUCUGGGCCGAUGACUGACGCUGAGGAGCGAAAGCGUGGGAGCGAACAGG